rnacentral:rRNA from 1 species
AAAUUGAAGAGUUUGAUCAUGGCUCAGAUUGAACGCUGGCGGCAGGCCUAACACAUGCAAGUCGAACGGUAACAGGAAGCAGCUUGCUGCUUUCGCUGACGAGUGGCGGACGGGUGAGUAAUGUCUGGGAAACUGCCUGAUGGAGGGGGAUAACUACUGGAAACGGUAGCUAAUACCGCAUAACGUCGCAAGACCAAAGAGGGGGACCUUCGGGCCUCUUGCCAUCGGAUGUGCCCAGAUGGGAUUAGCUUGUUGGUGGGGUAACGGCUCACCAAGGCGACGAUCCCUAGCUGGUCUGAGAGGAUGACCAGCCACACUGGAACUGAGACACGGUCCAGACUCCUACGGGAGGCAGCAGUGGGGAAUAUUGCACAAUGGGCGCAAGCCUGAUGCAGCCAUGCCGCGUGUAUGAAGAAGGCCUUCGGGUUGUAAAGUACUUUCAGCGGGGAGGAAGGGAGUAAAGUUAAUACCUUUGCUCAUUGACGUUACCCGCAGAAGAAGCACCGGCUAACUCCGUGCCAGCAGCCGCGGUAAUACGGAGGGUGCAAGCGUUAAUCGGAAUUACUGGGCGUAAAGCGCACGCAGGCGGUUUGUUAAGUCAGAUGUGAAAUCCCCGGGCUCAACCUGGGAACUGCAUCUGAUACUGGCAAGCUUGAGUCUCGUAGAGGGGGGUAGAAUUCCAGGUGUAGCGGUGAAAUGCGUAGAGAUCUGGAGGAAUACCGGUGGCGAAGGCGGCCCCCUGGACGAAGACUGACGCUCAGGUGCGAAAGCGUGGGGAGCAAACAGGAUUAGAUACCCUGGUAGUCCACGCCGUAAACGAUGUCGACUUGGAGGUUGUGCCCUUGAGGCGUGGCUUCCGGAGCUAACGCGUUAAGUCGACCGCCUGGGGAGUACGGCCGCAAGGUUAAAACUCAAAUGAAUUGACGGGGGCCCGCACAAGCGGUGGAGCAUGUGGUUUAAUUCGAUGCAACGCGAAGAACCUUACCUGGUCUUGACAUCCACAGAACUUUCCAGAGAUGGAUUGGUGCCUUCGGGAACUGUGAGACAGGUGCUGCAUGGCUGUCGUCAGCUCGUGUUGUGAAAUGUUGGGUUAAGUCCCGCAACGAGCGCAACCCUUAUCCUUUGUUGCCAGCGGUCCGGCCGGGAACUCAAAGGAGACUGCCAGUGAUAAACUGGAGGAAGGUGGGGAUGACGUCAAGUCAUCAUGGCCCUUACGACCAGGGCUACACACGUGCUACAAUGGCGCAUACAAAGAGAAGCGACCUCGCGAGAGCAAGCGGACCUCAUAAAGUGCGUCGUAGUCCGGAUUGGAGUCUGCAACUCGACUCCAUGAAGUCGGAAUCGCUAGUAAUCGUGGAUCAGAAUGCCACGGUGAAUACGUUCCCGGGCCUUGUACACACCGCCCGUCACACCAUGGGAGUGGGUUGCAAAAGAAGUAGGUAGCUUAACCUUCGGGAGGGCGCUUACCACUUUGUGAUUCAUGACUGGGGUGAAGUCGUAACAAGGUAACCGUAGGGGAACCUGCGGUUGGAUCACCUCCUUA